AGCUACAGGCUUAACACAUGCAAGUCGAGGGGCAGCAUCAUCAAAGCUUGCUUUGAUGGAUGGCGACCGGCGCACGGGUGAGUAACACGUAUCCAACCUGCCGACAACACUGGGAUAGCCUUUCGAAAGAAAGAUUAAUACCGGAUGGCAUAGUUUUUCCGCAUGGGAUAAUUAUUAAAGAAUUUCGGUUGUCGAUGGGGAUGCGUUCCAUUAGGCAGUUGGCGGGGUAACGGCCCACCAAACCAACGAUGGAUAGGGGUUCUGAGAGGAAGGUCCCCCACAUUGGAACUGAGACACGGUCCAAACUCCUACGGGAGGCAGCAGUGAGGAAUAUUGGUCAAUGGACGAGAGUCUGAACCAGCCAAGUAGCGUGAAGGAUGACUGCCCUAUGGGUUGUAAACUUCUUUUAUACGGGAAUAAAGUUAGCCACGUGUGGCUUUUUGUAUGUACCGUAUGAAUAAGGAUCGGCUAACUCCGUGCCAGCAGCCGCGGUAAUACGGAGGAUCCGAGCGUUAUCCGGAUUUAUUGGGUUUAAAGGGAGCGUAGGCGGGUUGUUAAGUCAGUUGUGAAAGUUUGCGGCUCAACCGUAAAAUUGCAGUUGAUACUGGCGACCUUGAGUGCAACAGAGGUAGGCGGAAUUCGUGGUGUAGCGGUGAAAUGCUUAGAUAUCACGAAGAACUCCGAUUGCGAAGGCAGCUUACUGGAUUGUAACUGACGCUGAUGCUCGAAAGUGUGGGUAUCAAACAGGAUUAGAUACCCUGGUAGUCCACACAGUAAACGAUGAAUACUCGCUGUUGGCGAUAUACGGUCAGCGGCCAAGCGAAAGCAUUAAGUAUUCCACCUGGGGAGUACGCCGGCAACGGUGAAACUCAAAGGAAUUGACGGGGGCCCGCACAAGCGGAGGAACAUGUGGUUUAAUUCGAUGAUACGCGAGGAACCUUACCCGGGCUUAAAUUGCAACUGACUGAACCGGAAACGGUUCUUUCUUCGGACAGUUGUGAAGGUGCUGCAUGGUUGUCGUCAGCUCGUGCCGUGAGGUGUCGGCUUAAGUGCCAUAACGAGCGCAACCCUUAUCGAUAGUUACUAGCAGGUCAUGCUGAGGACUCUAUUGAGACUGCCGUCGUAAGAUGUGAGGAAGGUGGGGAUGACGUCAAAUCAGCACGGCCCUUACGUCCGGGGCUACACACGUGUUACAAUGGGGGGUACAGAAGGCAGCUACACGGCGACGUGGUGCUAAUCCCGAAAGCCUCUCUCAGUUCGGAUUGGAGUCUGCAACCCGACUCCAUGAAGCUGGAUUCGCUAGUAAUCGCGCAUCAGCCACGGCGCGGUGAAUACGUUCCCGGGCCUUGUACACACCGCCCGUCAAGCCAUGAAAGCCGGGGGUACCUGAAGUACGUAACCGCGAGGAGCGUCCUAGGGUAAAACUGGUGAUUGGGGCU
rnacentral:rRNA from 1 species